AGUGGACCACCUCCUAUCCACAGAAACCCAGGCAGGUUUCAUGAUUGGCCCUUUUUCAUAACACCCCUUCUCGUCCUGGCAUAAAAAACCCCAUUGGGGUAGCUGUAAACAAAUACACCAAUAAAAAACGCUUAAUAAUCGAUCUGUCAGCUCUUCAUUUUUCAUAUACCCCCAGCAUUAACUCACUCAUACCCGCAGAAGAGUUUUCACUACAGUAUGCCAUGAUUGACAAUGCUAUGCAAGCCAUCAUCAUAGCAGGCAGCAAAGCAUGGCUGAGUAAAACGGAUAACACAAAUGCUUCCAAGCUGCUACCUAUUCACCUGUCACUGUGGCACUUACAUGGCGUAAAAUGGAGGGGCAGAUAUUAUUUUCCUACACGACUCACCUUUGGUUCUAGGAGCAGCCCUAAGCUAUUUGACAUUUUCGCUGAAACACUCUGCUGGCUGCUCCUGAACAUAGUCAGGUGUCCAUCAGUUAUUCACUAUUUACACAAUUUUUUGUUGCUGGAAACUGGCUCCCAUGCACCUAGUAGCAUUCACAGAACCACAGCCACUUCA